rnacentral:tmRNA from 1 species
GUCAAGGUUUCGACAGGGAUCAUGAAGCGGAAGAAGCACGUCGAGGAUGGUGGACACCUCGUAAAUCCGACACCACAAAAUAAUCGCUAAAGACGAUUACGCACUGGCUGCAGCGUAAACGCAGCUUCACCUUCGGGUGAUAAGCCCCCACGAUAACGCCGCUAUACUCGUGGGGGUUCAAAAGUAGCGGCUGCAUGCUGUAAAGCAAGUUCUCGAGAAGCAGCUCAAGACUAUCGCGAACCCGGAGAAGCAAAGUCUGUCUGUUAACUUGUUCUCCAGGUAUGAAGACAGAAUAAACGUGUAGAAGAGACGGGGAUUGAUUUUUGGACGCGGGUUCGACUCCCGCCUGGUCCAC